AGUGAACGCUGGCGGUAGGCUUAACACAUGCAAGUCGAACGGAAGCACCGUAAGUGCUUGCUCUUAUGGGUGGAGAGUGGUGGACGGCUGAGGAAUACCUCGGAAUCUACUUUUUCGCGGGGGAUAUAGUAGGGAAACUUACGCUAUUACCGCAUACGACCUACGGGUGAAGGCUGGGGAUCUUCGGACCUUGCGCGAUUGUAUGAGCCGAUGUCGGAGUAGCAAGUUGGCGGGGUGGAGGCCUACUAAGGCGACGAUCCGUAGCGGGUCCGAGAGGGUGAUGAGCCACACUGGGACUGAGACACGGUCCAGACUCCGACGGGAGGCAGCAGUGGGGAAUAUUGGUCAUGGGGCGCAAGCCUGAUCCAGCCAUACCGCGUGGGUGAAGAAGACCUUCGGGUUGUGAAGCCCAUUUGUUGGGAAAGAAAAGCAGCAGAUUAAUACCCCGCGGUUCUGACGGUACCCAAAGAAGAAGCACCGGCUAACUUCGUG
rnacentral:rRNA from 1 species